AGCGAACGCUGGCGGCAGGCUUAACACAUGCAAGUCGAGCGGACCUUUCGGGGUCAGCGGCGGACGGGUGAGUAACGCGUGGGAACGUGCCUUCCGGUUCGGAAUAACCCUGGGAAACUAGGGCUAAUACCGGAUACGCCCUUAUGGGGAAAGGUUUACUGCCGGAAGAUCGGCCCGCGUCUGAUUAGCUAGUUGGUGGGGUAACGGCCUACCAAGGCGACGAUCAGUAGCUGGUCUGAGAGGAUGAUCAGCCACACUGGGACUGAGACAUGGCCCAGACUCCUACGGGAGGCAGCAGUGGGGAAUAUUGGACAAUGGGCGCAAGCCUGAUCCAGCCAUGCCGCGUGAGUGAUGAAGGCCUUAGGGUUGUAAAGCUCUUUUAUCCGGGACGAUAAUGACGGUACCGGAGGAAUAAGCCCCGGCUAACUUCGUG
rnacentral:rRNA from 1 species